rnacentral:lncRNA from 1 species
CAUACAGGGUCCUCCUGGCGAACCUGGGCAAAGAGGGCAGCCAGGGAUUCCAGGAGAGAUGGGGGAUCGAGGUCCCAGGGGUCCACAUGGACGAGCCGGGACCCCAGGAAGAGAUGGGGAAAAUGGAGAAGAUGGCCAACCUGGAGCAAAUGGUGCUCCUGGGCAGCAGGUGGGCACAUACUGUACUUUUUUUUUAAUGUUAAACAGCAC